UCACCGUACAAAUCCGUUGAAGAAUUAUGGGAUGGAGAGAUUUAGGCCUGAAAUGAAAACCAAUCCUUGUGUAACACGUUUUGUGUGCGUCCAAAAAUAAAGGCGCCUUUUAGUCAUUUUCAGGAAAACCUAGCCGCUCUCUCCCUCCCUAGGAAGGAAAACCCAAGGUUUGAAGACUUAGCCGCCACCCCCUCUAUUCCGGAUCUAUUUUGUCCGGGGACUGCCAUUGCCUGUAGCCGACGUGGUUGCUCUGUUGUUUCAGUUUGUGUUGUCAGCGCUUUGUAUUUUGUUUGUUUCUUUUGCAGAUUUGAG
rnacentral:lncRNA from 1 species